rnacentral:lncRNA from 1 species
GAAUGGUUGAAUUUCCAUCCUUCUAAUCCAUUAGCAGUUGUAUUUGCCAUUAGCAGCUAUAUCUGGACGAGUCUCGACAUCUUCAUGUUCUAAAUAGAGUUAGAGGGUCGGGUUGACGCUUUCUCAGCACAAAGAAACCUCAAAGUCCGACUCAACUCAUCCCUCCAACUCCCUGAGUAUGGAGUACUCGCAUCACGUUCAAGCUAGCAAGAAUGAUACUCCAAUCACAGCUACAAGGGUCAGCAAUGUGGAUGUUAUUUUCUCACGGCCGGAAAGUAGGUAUUCAACUAACCAGUCCAAUGUGGUUGUUUCCAUGCAAGGCACUAGUGGCAUUGUCUACUAUGGAAAUAGCCCGGUGAGAACUCAUAAUGUGCAAGGCUCCCAACAGCUAGGCAAUUCAUCCUUAGCUUCGUUAUUUCAGUUUUAGUGGUUUUGUGCUAAAAAUUCUCGACUAAUAGAUUAAUUUAUAUAGGUUGGACGUAAAUAUUAGAUAUGUUUGAGAGGUUCUAGAUUUCGGUUGGGUGAUAUUAAGUUUGUUAACUCAAAAGUCUGCUUCAUAUAAGGCAAAGACGGG